rnacentral:rRNA from 1 species
UUGAUCUCAAAUCAGGCAGGACUACCCGCUGAACUUAAGCAUAUCAAUAAGCGGAGGAAAAGAAACUAACAAGGAUUCCCCUAGUAACUGCGAGUGAAGCGGGAAAAGCUCAAAUUUAAAAUCUGACAGUUGUUCUGGCUGUCCGAGUUGUAAUCUAGAGAAGUGUUACCCGCGCUGGACCGUGUACAAGUCUCCUGGAAUGGAGCAUCAUAGAGGGUGAGAAUCCCGUCUUUGACAUGGACUACCAGGGCUUUGUGGUGCGCUCUCAAAGAGUCGAGUUGUUUGGGAAUGCAGCUCAAAAUGGGUGGUAAAUGCCAUCUAAAGCUAAAUAUUGGCGAGAGACCGAUAGCGAACAAGUACCGUGAGGGAAAGAUGAAAAGAACUUUGGAAAGAGAGUUAAACAGUACGUGAAAUUGCUGAAAGGGAAACGCUUGAAGUCAGUCGCAUCGACUGGAAAUCAACCUUGCUUUUGCUUGGUGUAUUUUCUGGCUUGAUGGGUCAGCAUCAAUUUUGGUCGCUGGAUAAAGGCUUGGGGAAUGUGGCAUCUUAGGAUGUGUUAUAGCCCUUGGUCGCAUACAGCGGUUGGGAUUGAGGAACUCAGCACGCCGCAAGGCCGGGUCGUUUUACGACCACGUUUACGUGCUUAGGAUGCUGGCAUAAUGGCUUUAAUCGACCCGUC